rnacentral:rRNA from 1 species
UACGUAGGCAGCGAGCGUUGUUCGGAGUUACUGGGCGUAAAGAGUGCGUAGGCGGUUUUCUAAGUUUGGUGUGAAAUCUCCCGGCUCAACUGGGAGGGUGCGCCGAAGACUGGAAGGCUUGAGUAUGGGAGAGGUAAGCGGAAUUCCUGGUGUAGCGGUGAAAUGCGUAGAUAUCAGGAGGAACACCGGUGGCGAAGGCGGUUCUCUGGGCAUGACCUGACGCUGAGGAGCGAAAGUGUGGGGAGCGAACAGG